rnacentral:rRNA from 1 species
CCUACGGGAGGCAGCAGUGAGGAAUAUUGGUCAAUGGACGAGAGUCUGAACCAGCCAAGUAGCGUGAAGGAUGACUGCCCUAUGGGUUGUAAACUUCUUUUAUAUGGGAAUAAAACGUUCCACGUGUGGGAUUUUGUAUGUACCAUAUGAAUAAGGAUCGGCUAACUCCGUGCCAGCAGCCGCGGUAAUACGGAGGAUCCGAGCGUUAUCCGGAUUUAUUGGGUUUAAAGGGGGCGUAGGUGGAUUGUUAAGUCAGUUGUGAAAGUUUGCGGCUCAACCGUAAAAUUGCAGUUGAAACUGGCAGUCUUGAGUACAGUAGAGGUGGGCGGAAUUCGUGGUGUAGCGGUGAAAUGCUUAGAUAUCACGAAGAACUCCGAUUGCGAAGGCAGUUCACUGGACUGCAACUGACACUGAGGCUCGAAAGUGUGGGUAUCAAACAGGAUUAGAUACCCGUGUAGUC